rnacentral:rRNA from 1 species
GAUGAACGCUGGCGGCGUGCUUAACACAUGCAAGUCGAACGGAAAGGCCCAAGCUUGCUUGGGUGCUCGAGUGGCGAACGGGUGAGUAACACGUGGGUGAUCUGCCCUGCACUUUGGGAUAAGCCUGGGAAACUGGGUCUAAUACCGGAUAGGACCAUCGUUUAGUGUCGGUGGUGGAAAGUUUUUCGGUGUGGGAUGAGCUCGCGGCCUAUCAGCUUGUUGGUGGGGUAAUGGCCUACCAAGGCGUCGACGGGUAGCCGGCCUGAGAGGGUGUACGGCCAAUUGGGGCGUGGGAACGGGCCAGGCCCCCGGGGGGGGAGGGGGGGGGGAAUAGUGGAAAAGGGGGCGCGGGCUGUAAGCGGCGGGCGCCGGGGGGGGAGCGCGCCUUGGGGGUUUAAACCCCUGUAGCCAAGGAAGAAUGCUUUUUGGGCGGGACUGGGAAAAAAAGACCCGGGCAACCACGGGC